rnacentral:lncRNA from 1 species
GGAGCACAGGGCUUCCUAGCUGGGGAAGCAGACUCAGAGAGGGUGUGUGGCUUGCCCCAGGUCACACAGCGGGGCAGGGGCCCAGGGCCUAGCCUGCCAGUCCUGUUUCUGCCCCCAUCCUGGGGUUCUGGUGCAGGGUCUCCUGCCUGUGCUGACCAGCAGUAUUCAUGAGGUGCUGGGGGAGAGGCGGUGGGAGGAGGUAGACAUACCUCAUACCUCAGCCGGAUGGAGAGUGCAUUUGGGGGGCAAACGGAAGACAGCCAACCCAAGGAAGCCCAGGGUCCUCCUCUGGAAGUGGUGACGGUCCCGGCCUCCAGGAGCGGCCGCAAGGAUUCAGAGCUGAUAAG